CCGAGACAACUGCAGAGUAGGGCGAGUCGGGCUGACCUGCUCCCUCGCCCGGCCCGUCGCCGCCACCGCGGAGCGCGGUGUCGCGAGAGUCUGAAGUAAAAGGACCGUCUCGCACGCCCUCCCCACUGCGGUCCAGCCUCAGAGGUAACCUCCGGUCACAGCGUCUUCCCACCACCCUACCCCGCCCUCCUCGCUUAGAUUGCCAGAGGAAACUCCCCGGCUUCUCAAAAGGAUUCUUCAUGCAGCUCACGCACACAGCGAGGGCACGAUUUCCACUGGAGCUGAUUCAUUCUUAGGCUUGGUUACUGGAGAAGUUCUCAGCAAGAAACCCAAAUCUGAGACCUACUGCUCUUUCCUGUGAGAAAGAAUGCUCAGAAAGUCCCUUGCGCAACCAGGGAGGGGACUGGUACCCAAACCAAGGAGAUGAAAAGAUUCAGCAGGAAGCUGGGUGUG